rnacentral:rRNA from 1 species
UACGUAGGGGGCAAGCGUUGUCCGGAUUUAUUGGGCGUAAAGAGCGUGUAGGCGGUCAGGUAGGUCCGUUGUGAAAACUCGAGGCUCAACCUCGAGACGCCGAUGGAAACCAUCUGACUAGAGUCCGGAAGAGGAGAGUGUAAUUCCUGGUGUAGCGGUGAAAUGCGCAGAUAUCAGGAAGAACACCCGUGGCUAAGGCGGCUCGCUAGGACGGUACUGACGCUGAGACGCGAAAGCGUGGGGAGCGAACAGG